rnacentral:lncRNA from 1 species
AUGAGUAGUCGACGAAAACAGACCACGCUACACAUACCAGACCAAAGAGAUGUUACUGUAUAUUUUCGGUUGUUUCAUACAUAAUGAAUUUCAACCAACACACAAUUUGAGCUGAUGCCCAUGGCUAACGCGAAAGGCUAUGUUUAGUAGCGAUUAGAUGGUAUACUGAACGUCUGUGGAAUAAGUCCAGUGGUAUAUUUAGACACUGUGGAGCAAGUUUAGAUGGUAUAUCAAGAGAUUGUGGAGCAGACAUAGAUGGUGUACCAGGAGACUGAGGAGCGAGUUUGGCUCUUCUUCAAGGAGACUGUUGAACGAGUUUGGCUCUUCUACCAGGAGACUGUGGAGCGAGAGCUGGUAUAUGGAGAGAAAGCGGGGACACACUGUUACGGAUUUUGUUGUGUUAGGUUACAUGUGACAUGGCCUAUGGCUCCAGUGUGUGAGGAUGUGUGAAUGUGAGUGACAUGUGGGGGAUUCUUGUGUAUAUAUGUGUAGAUGCAGAGUGCGACACGAGGGUGGUGUGUAUACUGGAGGUGUCAAGAUACUUGAGGUGUCACGAUACCGGAGGUGUCACCAUAAAUCCUUGUAGUACCCUUGUACAAAACUUGUCUGUUGGUUCACACUUAGAGUUACAGUCACAUCGACAAAUCGACAAAAAUGGCAGCGGAAAUCUGCUCAGUCACUCCCGGAAUCAUAUUUAGAUGUAUUAUCCUGGAAAUCAUUUAACUGGAAACAGGUGCAAAUUUCGACGACUAUUGCAUAUUGUUAAUUUCCCUUCAGAAUGCUGAAUGGAAUAGUUUAUGUUUCGCAGCAAGUUUAACACAAAGUCGUCAUACUGAGAUGACAUCUUGGCCUUAUAGACAUUCUCUCUGACACCACGAUGUAUGGCAACACACCUGGUAUACACAUCCCCUCCACAACAGUGGUACAAUGUAUGUUUAGUACGUUAUACCAAGUGUGACAAUAUAACACGCGAUUAUAUGUGAGUUGUGGUAUGUGUGACAAAUAUGUAAAUACUGGUGACAUGACAUCCUCUGCAUUUUCUUGAAACAUCACUUAACUAUCACACUUAAAUAUCCAGUUGAGGAGAUCGUGAUAGUUAAAAUAUGUAUGUCUUCUAUGAGAUAAGUUACACUUGAUUCGUAUGUUUAAACCGGCAUCCAUGGGUACUUACAUGGCUAGAAUCUCCAGGUAAUGCAUUUAGACAGGCACUGACCACUGGUCAGUAUAUGUCCAUACGCCGAGUCUCUGGUAUGUUGUGAUGACGUCAUUGCUGACAACUGGGGGAGGUCCAGAUAUCUAUUUAUAGAAACCCAACACACACAAGAUUGCACAUUAUGUUUAUGUUACAUCAUCAUCACAAAAAUAUACACUCAGGCAGCUGGUGUGAUACGUCAAUCUAUGGAGACCAAGUUCCGCAAGAUCCGCAAGAUCCGCGUGCUAUAUUCAAGGUGCCUUAAUUCAAUGGUUGGAGCAUCAUCUGUUUAGUUACAGCAAACAUAGAUGAAUGAACAAAUGGCAGUACACAUUCGUACCGAUGAUACAACAGUAGAUGUAGCUAAACUCAAAACAUUUUUUACAAUUCUGUACACUAAAAAAGUAAACAUAUACUUUUAGUGAUAUGGAAAUUAAUGUUAUUCCGUGAUAAGUAAUGGUGGCUUUUCAUAUUUCAUGUAUCCAGACACACUACAUGUUCAGACACACUCGCAUGGUACACAACUCAGACACUAGUGUACUGGACAUAAACAGAGAGUUCACCUGAUUAACGUACACAACCCAUACCUUAUGUAAACAACACAAAUAUGCAAGGCUGAAUUGAAAAUUUGCUAUUUGUUAAAACAGUUAAAUCAAUUCUUAAAAAUCCCAGAGUCGUAUUGUAAAAAGUUAACACUAGAAAUAAAACCAUCCUUUAAGCGUCUGAUCGAUGCGAAGGCAAUGCCUGGCAGCCUGCCAAAUGGAUACAUCAGUCAACCCACAUGACGGGUUGUACUAGAAGUAUCGAUACAACCAAUACAACUGUUAUAUUACAGCUGGUUAAGAGCUUAUAUCUAUGAGAUCUAUGCAACCCCGUCCUCGGUGCUUCAGUUAGCCUAUACUAGGGGCCUGUACUGUUUCACUGUAGAUACAAUGUUGUUAUAUUCUUUGGAAAUAAUUCUGGUUUUUGUGUCACUUGGUUUACAGAUUCUCGUAUAUCACUUGUUGAACAAAUUAUUUAGUCACAUUAUUUAGUCACAUUUUAGUGAGAACGAACUGUCCAAAUUGGAUCGACUGUCUUCAGAAAUACCGUUUCUUUUGAUGUUUCUUGAUGUUUCUUUAUCGACCAAAUUAAGAUCCGUAAUCCAGGUAAGUAGAUAGACCUCAACUAUGGCUUCCAGACGAUGUUAGUGCCUGUGUGUACACACUGCCUGUGUAUGAUGUUACAAGUAAAGGCAGGCCGUACUCUGUAUAGUAGUCUCAUUGUACUGGCAUCGUUUUUAUAUGAGAUUUUUUCUGAUGUCUAUAUUGACGUUGUUUAUUCUUUAUAUGUUUGAAUAUAUUCAACAUGUGAGUCUCAAAAUAAAAGCUUAAACUUC